GUCUAAGGCCAUAUCACCUUGAACAUGACCAAUCUCAUCUGGUCUUGAAAGCCAAGCAGGGUUGGGUCUGGUUAGUACUUGGAUAAUCUUCAGAAAAGACUGCUCAGAAA
rnacentral:rRNA from 1 species